CUGGGAAACCUCUAGAUAAAGAGCUGAAGCCAAAAGUGUCAAGUGCCCAUUCCCUGUUAUUGCUCCGGGCCUGCACGGUGGGGAACCGCGUGGUGCAGACCUGGGUGCGGAGGACCCAGCGGGGUGUCGCGGGGACCCGAAACCUCCCCGGAGCCGCAGUCUCCGCGCGGGGCGGCCUGGGAAAGUCACCAGUCAGCAGCGCAGUGGCGGGAACCGCAGCCCGGCGGCCCUGGAACCUCCCAGAAAUCCAGGUGCUCUCUGAAGAAUCUCACUGAUCACCCAGACCUGCUCACAGCAGAACAAAGAGGCCUGGAAGAUGGAGAAAGAGGAGACAGUAGCUAAGGCUCUAGGAUUACUUUCUGGAAAAUAAGAAAAUAAGAUUGUAAUGGGAGUUGCUUGGAGUCUUAGAGAAGACCAGCUCCUUCUAGGUUGUCUUCUCCUGUUUGAAAAGAACUUGAGUCCUGGGCUGGAGAGAUGGCACAGAGGUCAAGUGCACUGACUGAUCUUCCAGAGGUCCUGAGUUCAAUUCCCAACAACCACAUGGUGACUCACAACCAUCUGUACUGAGAUCUGGUGCCCUCUUCUGGCCUGCAAUCAUACA